AUGUCAACAUGGGAAUGCUACAUGUCAUCACUGGUGGCGGGUGAGCAGCGACCAGUGGGGGCCAAUUAAAUGCCCAUUCGGGAGCAGAAUGUAAUUGGUCAGUAUAGAAUUAUUUUGCUGCACCGGUGUCUACCCAUUGCUUCCUGCACUAAAUUUACACUGCAAGAUGUUGAUAUCGAAACAACCAGAACCCUGCCUUGCACCUUAAAACCUGCACCAUCAAGGACACCUCAACCAUCAUCAGGCAGGAGGACCAAAGAACCGGAGUGUGCCCCGAAUGGGAAGAAAUGGUGUGCCCUUCCUAUCACUGCACGCCGGCCCAGGGAGCUUCAAAACCGUGCUUCCAUGGCACGCGGAAUAAUGUUCGACUUUCGUCCAACCACCGAACACCUUCAAAUUUGUUGCUGUUGAUCUGUCGAAUUAGCCAAGGGCCAAAGAGUUCUCUGUUGAGGCUCAGUAAAAGCCUGCCCUCGCAUUACUUUACACAUAUCACACUUUAUUCCAGGUAAAAUCACAGUAGAUGCGGUCACAGAAGCACAAGGCAACAGCCGUUUCGCACUAAACUAAAGUGCUUUGUCAAGCCUCCCGUUACGCGGUUGAGGCGCGUAGUAAAUACAUUACUCACUCCCCCACGUCAAAGACACACAGGACAAAGAGUUCUUCUGGGUUCUCCAGCUACGUAUGUAGAUCUGACUGGUUAAAAGGUAGCAGCAUGACAACACAUGUGCUGCUAAAAUGUGUUCAUGUGUGUGUGUGGGGGAAGGUCCUUCUACACUCAUGUGUGAUGAUGACCA